rnacentral:rRNA from 1 species
GAUGAACGCUGGCGGCGUGCCUAAUACAUGCAAGUCGAGCGAACAGAUAAGGAGCUUGCUCCUUUGACGUUAGCGGCGGACGGGUGAGUAACACGUGGGUAACCUACCUAUAAGACUGGGAUAACUUCGGGAAACCGGAGCUAAUACCGGAUAACAUUUGGAACCGCAUGGUUCUAAAGUGAAAGAUGGUUUUGCUAUCACUUAUAGAUGGAGCCGCGCCGUAUUAGCUAGUUGGUAAGGUAACGGCUUACCAAGGCGACGAUACGUAGCCGAACUGAGAGGGGGAUCGGCGACACUGGAAGUGAGACAGCGUCCAGACGACUACGGGAGGAAGCAGACGGGAAUGUUCAGCAAUAGGGGAGAGCCUGACGGAGUGAGGCCAAGUGAGUGAUGAAGGGUUUCGGCGCGGAAUACUGGGUUAUUGGGGAAGAACAAAUGUGUAAUUAAAUGUGCAAGGAUUGACGGUAACUAGUAAGAAAGCAACGGCUAACUACGUG